rnacentral:rRNA from 1 species
UACGAAGGGGGCUAGCGUUGCUCGGAAUCACUGGGCGUAAAGGGCGCGUAGGCGGGCUGUCAAGUCUGGGGUGAAAUCCCGCGGCUCAACCGUGGAACUGCCUCAGAUACUGACGGCCUCGAGGGAGAUAGGGGCGAGCGGAACUGUGAGUGGAGCGGUGAAAUGCGUUGAUAUCCGCGGGAACUCCGGUGGCGAAGGCGGCGUGCUGGACCUCUUCUGACGCUGAGGCGCGAAAGCCAGGGGAGCGAACGGG